rnacentral:tRNA from 1 species
GCAUUGGUGGCUUAGCGGUAGAAUUCUUGCCUUCCAUGCAGGAGACCCAAGUUUGAUUCCUGGCCAUUGCA